GGACGGGAGGGCGAGGCGUCCCGCAGCUCCCGUUGUCAUCCACAUCAUUCGGAUCCUCGACAGAAACCUUCUUCUCCAUCGCCUCCUUCGUGGCAAUGGGACUAAAGUUGGGACGGGGCGGCGGCGAGAGCGGCAGAGGGGGCGGCGAGAGCGGCAGAGGGGGCGGCGGCGAGGGUGGCAGAGGCGGCGGUGGGGGGGGAGAGGGAGGCAACGUGAGGCGGAGAGGGGGGGCGUCACCCAGGAUCAUCGUCUCGACUUCGGUGAACUGCAAAAGGGUGGCGCC
rnacentral:lncRNA from 1 species